rnacentral:rRNA from 1 species
AUGGCACCCCAGCUCUCCUCCCUAGCUGCAUCCGCGGGCAGAUAUGUAGUCUCAGCUCUCGCCAUAGCCCUGCUGGUGAUCACCCUCUACAUCAUUGGCAUUGUUGUAUCCUUUGCCGUCUUCUGCAUCAGAGAGUUCACCCAGAGAGCCCAUGACCGGCCGCCGCUCAUCGGGACCGUGUUGCGGCAGAUCAACAACUUUGACAAGAUCUUCGAUGAGCAUGUCAAGUAUGCGCUCGUGCACCCUACCAUUAGGCUCGUCUAUCCUGGGCACAGUGAGAUUUUAACCGCCGACCCUGCCGUCAUCGAGCAUAUCCUUAAGACAAACUUCAGUUAAUACAGCAGGGGGGCCUUCAACACGGAAAUCGUGAAGGAUCUCUUUGGAAAUGGGAUUUUCGUGACAGACGGAGAGAAGUGGCGACACCAGAGAAAGCAAGCAAGCCAUGAGUUCUCAACCAAAGUGCUACGUGACUACAGCAGUGAUGUUUUCAAAAUGAAUGCUAUGAAACUGGCAGAGAAGAUCUCAGCUGCAGCAACUAACAGAAUUACCAUAAACUUGCAGGACCUUUUGAUGAGAACAACUAUGGAUUCAAUAUUCGAAGUGGGAUUUGGUUUUGAGCUUAACACGCUAUCCGGAUAAGAUGAAUCCAGCAUUGAAUUCAGCAAGGCCUCCGAUGAGGCAAAUUCUCUUGUUUACCAUCGGUAUGGUGAUAUGUUCUGGAAGUUGAAAAGGUAUCUUAAUAUCGGGUCAGAAGCCAAACUGAAGAGGAGCAUAAAGAUAAUCGACGACUUUGUGAUACAGUUGAUCCAUCAAAAGAGAGAGAUCAUGAAAAACAUAAGUGGCCAUAAAGCCAGAGAUGACAUACUAUCAAGAUUCAUACUGGAAAGUGAGAAGGAUCCUUGGAGGAUGAAUGAUCGUUACCUUCGUGACAUAGUCCUCAGCUUCCUGAUUGCUGGUAAAGACACCACAGGGAAUACCCUUACAUGGUUCUUCUACAUGCUCUGCAAGAACCCAGUAGUGCAGGAUAAGGUUGCCUUUGAAAUCAGAGAAUAUCUCGAGUGGACGCAAGAAGAUACCAGCAUGGAAAUAUUCACCGCAAGAUUGAAACAAGGUGCUAUUGACAAAAUGCACUACCUCCAUGCUGCGAUCACCGAGACUCUCCGGCUGUAUCCUGGUGUUCCGGUGGAUGGUAAGAUGGCAGAUGAAGAUGAUGUACUGCCAAACGGCCAACGAGUAAUAAUAGGAGAUGGAAUGAACUACAUGAUUUAUGCCAUGUCUAAAACCUGA